AUUGAACGCUGGCGGCAGGCCUAACACAUGCAAGUCGAGCGGAUGAAGGGAGCUUGCUCCUGGAUUCAGCGGCGGACGGGUGAGUAAUGCCUAGGAAUCUGCCUGGUAGUGGGGGAUAACGUCCGGAAACGGGCGCUAAUACCGCAUACGUCCUGAGGGAGAAAGUGGGGGAUCUUCGGACCUCACGCUAUCAGAUGAGCCUAGGUCGGAUUAGCUAGUUGGUGGGGUAAAGGCCUACCAAGGCGACGAUCCGUAACUGGUCUAAGAGGAUGAUCAGUCACACUGGAACUGAGACACGGUCCAGACUCCUACGGGAGGCAGCAGUGGGGAAUAUUGGACAAAGGGCGAAAGCCUGAUCCAGCCAUGCCGCGUGUGUGAAGAAGGUCUUCGGAUUGUAAAGCACUUUAAGUUGGGAGGAAGGGCAGUAAGUUAAUACCUUGCUGUUUUGACGUUACCAACAGAAUAAGCACCGGCUAACUUCGUG
rnacentral:rRNA from 1 species